UAACCAGAAAGCCACGGCUAACUACGUGCCAGCAGCCGCGGUAAUACGUAGGUGGCAAGCGUUGUCCGGAAUUAUUGGGCGUAAAGCGCGCGCAGGCGGUUUCUUAAGUCUGAUGUGAAAGCCCCCGGCUCAACCGGGGAGGGUCAUUGGAAACUGGGGAACUUGAGUGCAGAAGAGGAGAGUGGAAUUCCACGUGUAGCGGUGAAAUGCGUAGAGAUGUGGAGGAACACCAGUGGCGAAGGCGACUCUCUGGUCUGUAACUGACGCUGAGGCGCGAAAGCGUGGGGAGCGAACAGGAUUAGAUACCCUGGUAGUCCACGCCGUAAACGAUGAGUGCUAAGUGUUAGAGGGUUUCCGCCCUUUAGUGCUGCAGCAAACGCAUUAAGCACUCCGCCUGGGGAGUACGGUCGCAAGACUGAAACUCAAAGGAAUUGACGGGGGCCCGCACAAGCGGUGGAGCAUGUGGUUUAAUUCGAAGCAACGCGAAGAACCUUACCAGGUCUUGACAUCCUCUGACAACCCUAGAGAUAGGGCUUCCCCUUCGGGGGCAGAGUGACAGGUGGUGCAUGGUUGUCGUCAGCUCGUGUCGUGAGAUGUUGGGUUAAGUCCCGCAACGAGCGCAACCCUUGAUCUUAGUUGCCAGCAUUCAGUUGGGCACUCUAAGGUGACUGCCGGUGACAAACCGGAGGAAGGUGGGGAUGACGUCAAAUCAUCAUGCCCCUUAUGACCUGGGCUACACACGUGCUACAAUGGGCAGAACAAAGGGCAGCGAAGCCGCGAGGCUA
rnacentral:rRNA from 1 species